rnacentral:miRNA from 1 species
AUGUAGUCCAAUCUAUUGAAG